GCCUGGGUGGCUCAGUCGGUUGAGUGUCCGACUUCGGCUCAGGUCAUGAUCUCAUGGUCUGUGAGUUCGAGCCCCACAUCAGGCU
rnacentral:tRNA from 1 species